UACGUAGGGUCCGAGCGUUGUCCGGAAUUAUUGGGCGUAAAGGGCUCGUAGGCGGUCCGUCACGUCGGGAGUGAAAACUCAGGGCUCAACCCUGAGCGUGCUUCCGAUACGGGCGGACUAGAGGUAUGCAGGGGAGAACGGAAUUCCUGGUGUAGCGGUGAAAUGCGCAGAUAUCACAAGGAACACCAACGGCGAAGGCAGCACUCUGGGCCGGUACUGACGCUGAGGAGCGAAAGCGUGGGGAGCAAACAGG
rnacentral:rRNA from 1 species